UACGAAGGGGGGCUAGCGUUGCUCGGAAUUACUGGGCGUAAAGCGCACGUAGGCGGUCUUUUAAGUCGGGGGUGAAAUCCUGGAGCUCAACUCCAGAACUGCCUUCGAUACUGGAAGACUUGAGUCCGGGAGAGGUCGGAGUGGAACUGCGAGUGUAGAGGUGAAAUUCGUAGAUAUUCGCAAGAACACCAGUGGCGAAGGCGGCUCGA
rnacentral:rRNA from 1 species